ensembl:processed_transcript
AAAUACCUGCUUAAUUAUUUCAUAGUAGGAGCAAACAUGCCUUAAUAAAAGGAGCACAUUUAAAACUUUAGUAACCAUAAAAAGUACACCAAGUGGAUGCCUUUCUACUCCAGGAAGCCGCAGCAUACGGCCUGAAGGAGGAAGGACGCGGUCAGUUUGAAAUCUGGGCCAGUUCUGCAGAUGAUCAGACGGAGUUCGCCAUCAUCACAUCCCUCAUUGCUGCAGUCAGACUGAAACAGGACGGUGAUGCAUGGCAGUCAAUGCCCGAGAUACGGAUGAUGAAGAGACCACAGCAACAUCUGGUCCAGAUGAGGACACAAGGGCAGGUGGACUGAUGCAGGGUCUCGUUUAAUUCACUACAGGAGAACAGGAGUGGCCAAACUCAGUCCAGAACUGCUGCUGUCUUGCAGAGUUUAGUUGAAGUUGACUCUAAACUUCACCAGCCAUCCAGAACUAAGUUUGGGCACCCCUGCAUUACAGCAUUUCCAGGAUGCUGCUGUGGACUUCUUUACACUCACCACAUACACCAAUCUGC